rnacentral:rRNA from 1 species
CCUACGGGAGGCAGCAGUGGGGAAUAUUGGACAAUGGGCGAAAGCCUGAUCCAGCCAUGCCGCGUGUGUGAAGAAGGUCUUCGGAUUGUAAAGCACUUUAAGUUGGGAGGAAGGGCAGUAAGCGAAUACCUUGCUGUUUUGACGUUACCGACAGAAUAAGCACCGGCUAACUCUGUGCCAGCAGCCGCGGUAAUACAGAGGGUGCAAGCGUUAAUCGGAAUUACUGGGCGUAAAGCGCGCGUAGGUGGUUUGUUAAGUUGAAUGUGAAAUCCCCGGGCUCAACCUGGGAACUGCAUCCAAAACUGGCAAGCUAGAGUAGGGCAGAGGGUGGUGGAAUUUCCUGUGUAGCGGUGAAAUGCGUAGAUAUAGGAAGGAACACCAGUGGCGAAGGCGACCACCUGGGCUCAUACUGACACUGAGGUGCGAAAAGCGUGGGGAGCAAACAGGGAUUUAGAUACCCCUGGUAGUCCACGCCGUAAACGAUGUCAACUAGCCGUUGGAAGCCUUGAGNUUAGUGNGCNGCACGCAUAGUUAGACGCGNGGNGGUAAGGCGCGAGUUAAACGUAACGAAGAAGUAGAGCGNGNGAGNGCGACGGACGACGACGAGGGAGGAGG